CCGAGGACAAACGAUCCCCCCACCCUAAAAAAAUCAGCUUACCACUAUUUUCAAUGGCUAGUACUAUAAUUAUAAGACCAAGUCCUCCCAGAUUGCAGUUCCUAGGGCUUCCACUAGAAGUCAACAGUCUUUAGAAAGAGUUUCAGGCCGUUUUUUGGAAAAAUGACCCAGAAAUUGUAGUUUUUCUAGGUGGCUCCCAUUUUGGCUGUAGUGUUUCCAAACGCGUGGAUGAAAUCGCGUUCUUUCUUAUUUAUCUCCGCUAAUGAACAUACUAUUAUCAGUCUUAAAUUGUAUUGUUUAUUUGCGUAUUAGGAUACCUAAGGUUUGAUUAUAAAUGUUGUUUGGAAAAGUUUAUUAGUAAUGUUUGGGAUUCAUUUUGUAUGCAUUUUGAUGGAGGGAAACUGGAUGGAUUAUUGACUGAAGUGCGCCAGCUACACUGAGUUUUUAUGGAAGGACAUUAUCAAACAAAAUAACCAUUUGUGAUGUAACUGGGACCUUUUGGAGUGCCAACAGAAGAAGAUCAUCAAAGGUAAGGCAUUUUUUCUAUCGCUAUUUCUGACUUUCAUGUUGCACCUGCCUGGAUAAAAUAUGUUUUUCAUGUGUUUGUAUGCGGGGAGCUGUCCUCAGAUAAUCGCAAGGUUUGCUUUUGCCGUAAAGCCUUUUUGAAAUCUGACAUGGCGGCUGGAUUAACAACAAGUUAAGCUUUAUUUUGAUGUAUUACACUUGUGAUUUUAUGAAAGUAAAAUAUUUAUUGUAAUUUUAUUUGCAUUUGGCGCUCUGCAAUUUCACCGUAUGUUGUCAAGGUGUCCCACUAGCGGCGCGCCUUUCCCAAACAGGCUAGCUAAACAAUGAACCAUAAUCCCAACUCAUAACGUUAUUACCCUGCAUGACUAGGUUCAAUGUUAGUUAGCUAGCUAAUAUUAGGCUAUAACUAGCAAUGCAAAUGGCUCUGAGACACUAAUAUAAUUACUACAUAGAUCAUACACGUAAUGUUAGCUUGCAAUCCAGCCAGCUAACGUUAGCUAGCUAACAGCACACUUUAACUUGCAAUGAAAAUGACUUUCUGACAAAUUUAGAAAUGUAUAAUGUAUGAAAUUGUAGCUAGCUAGAUUCUCUUACCCAUAUACAUGGAUGAAUGAUUCUCCUUCUCUGUCACGGAUGCCAUGGUUAGUUUCAAGAUGUAAUCCAGAGACAGGUGUUUUAUACAACAGCUUUCUGUGUGUUCUCUUUUUGAUCGCUUUCGCAUAUUUGCAAUCAAACACCAGAAUUUUUUCCAUCUCCUUAGCUAUAAUACUCUUCUUCCACCAGACAUUCCACUGAUUUUAAAACUCGAUCCUCCAGACAGUGGAGAGCAUUAGCAACAAUUUUGCAGUUCUUCGUGUUAUCUUUCAAAAGAGCUGCAUUAGAAAGGAUUAACUACACAUUCUGAGCAGCUCAUGUUAUAGACAGAAGCAGCUACAUGGCACACCAUUCUGAACUCAUCUCUCUGCAUGUCCAGCCCAUCCAUUAUCUCAGCCAAUCAUGGCUAGCGGGAAGGUUCCUGUCUUUUUCCAUGGCUAAACCAACUGGGCUCAUAAUUUAACAAUUGUAUUCCUAUUUACACUUUUGUUAUUAAGGCACAUUAAAGUUCACAUGUUCCAGAAAGCAUUUCUGCCAAAAACACAUAAUAUUUAAGUUCAAAUACCUCUCCUGUGAAGUAGAUACGCAUGACAUAUGCCUAGUUUCCUGAAACAAGUCACAUACACUGGCUUUAGAAAUGAGAACCCUAACCCAUCGGACCACAGGAUCUAAUCGUUCCAGCAGAAUCGUUGCCACUUUCCUCUGGGCCUACCUCCAGCAGCUCUGCUUCCCCUCCUUCCAACCCGAGCUCCCAAAGUUGGCGAGCAGCAUAAGCCAGGACUCGGAGGACAAAAUUAUGGCCAGACAUGCAGCUGCUUUCGUGUAGACAGCAAGAGAAAUCCACCUCCUGUCACAGUUAUGUUUCUGUGUAGAUUCACAAAAUGGAUGGAUGAAAGAUUAUUUUGAAUGUUACAGGAGUACAGAAGUACAGGACAGUAUUGGCCAAGAGCUGUGCCAAAAUACAGCGCAUCCAGAAAGUAUUCAGACCCCUUGACAUUUCACAUUUUGUUACAUUACAGCAUUAUUCUUAAAUGUAUUAAAUUGUUUUUUUCCCCUCACCAAUCUACACACAAUAUCCCAUAAUGACUAAGCAAAAACAGGGUUUAGAAAUUUUGGCAAAUUUAUCAAAAUAAAAAACCCGGAAAUAUCACAUUUACGUAAGUAUUUAGGCCCUUUACUAAGUACUUUGUUGAAGCACCUUUGGCAGCGAUUAAAGCCUCAAGUCUUCUUGGGUAUGACGCUACAAGCUUCGCACACCUGUAUUUGGGGAGUUUCUCCCAUUCAUCUCUGUAGAUCCUCUCAAUAUCUGUUAGGUUGGAUGCGGAGCGUUGGUGCACAGGUAUUUUCAGGUCUCUCCAGAGAUGUUUGAUCGGGUUUAAGUCCGGGCUCUGGCUAGGCCACUCAAGGACAUUCAGAGAUUGUUGCCAGAGCCACUCCUGCAUUGUCUUGGCUGUGUGCUUAGGGUCUUUGUCCUGUUGGAAGGUGAACCUUCACCCCAGUCUGAGGUCCUGAGCACUCUGGAGCAGGUUUUCAUCAAGGAUCUCUCUGUACUUUGCUCCGUUCAUCUUUCCCUUGAUCCUGACUAGUCUCCCAGUCCCUGCCGCUGAAAAACAGCUGCACAGUAUGAUGCUGCCACCACAAUGCUUCACUGUAGGGAUGGUGCCAGGUUUCCUCCAGAUGUGACGCUUGGUAUUCAGGCCAAAGAGUUCAAUCUUGGUUUCAUCAGACCAGAGAAUCUUGUUUCUCAUGGUCUGAGAGUCCUUUAGGUGCCUUUUGGUAAACUUAUGUGCCUUUUGCUGAGGAGUGGCUUCCGUCUGGCUACUCUACCAUAAAGGCCUGAUUGGUGUGCUGCAGAGAUCGUUGUCCUUCUGGAAGGUUCUCCCAUCUCCAAAGGGGAACUCUGCAGCACUUUCAGAGGGACAAUCAGGUUCCCUGACCAAGGCUCUUCUCCCCUGAUUGCCAGCUCUAGUGAGAGUGUUGGUGGUUCCAAACUUUAAGAAUGAUGGAGGCCACUGUGUUCUUGGGGACCUUCAAUGCUGCAGAAAUGUUUUGGUACCCUUCACCAGAUCUGUGCCUCGACACAAUCCUGAUUCGGAGCUCUACGGACAAUUCCUUCAACCUCAUGGCUCGGUUUCUGCUCUGACAUGCACUGUCAACUGUGGGAUCUUAUAUAGACAGGUGUGUGCCUUUCUAAAUCAUGUCCAAUCAAUUGAAUUUACAACACAGAUGGACUCCAAUCAAGUUGUAGAAACAUCUCAAGGAUGAUCAAUGAAACAGGAUGCACUUGAGCUCAAUUCCAAGUCUCAUAGCAAAGGGUCUGAAUACUUAUGUAAAUAAGGUAUUUCUGUUUUUUAUUUUUAAUACAUUUGCAAACAUUUCCCAAAAACGGUUUUGUCAUUAGGGGUUAUUGUGUGCAGAUUUAUGAGAAAAAAUGAUAAAUUUUAGAAUAAGGCUGCAAUGAAAAAGUCAAAAGGUCUGAAUACUUUCCGUAUGCACCGUAUAUCAUCAUCACAAGUCAUCCUCCCUUUAAUGUUUUUGCAUGAUCUGCAUGAUCCAGCAGUGUCUGAUUAAUGUGAAAUUCUCCCUAUUUUGUUCUUAUGUUUUUCAGAGAAGCAUUAACAACAUUGUGGCAGGGGUGCAGCAGUACCAGGGAUUACUCAACAACAACCUGAGGGAUCGGCUCAAAAUGGUAUUUCAGAAUUCAGUCAACUGGAAUAGGAAGCAAUAGAGAUAUUUGAUAUGUUUGAAGAUCCAUUUGCCAGACUUUCAACAACACACAUGCAGGACCAUGCCAUAAAAUAACAGUUUAGCAUGGUGGAAUCAGAGAUUGGGCAAAAUGCAUGUAGGCUGAAAGGUACAGUACAGCGGCCUUACCAUCAAAGACAUAUUCUUUCAUUACAUACCUUCCUAGUGAAAAGUUUGGAGCAGUUGUCUCACCUGAAAAUACUAGCCAGGAUUGAAGAUGGACCUCAGAAAUGCACCUAUGCAUUCUUAUAUGAAAUUGUAGAUCGGUACCUUAUAAGAUCAGACCCGUUGUUUUCCGUGAAACCCACUACUUUACAGAUCAUUUUCUAUACAGAUAAAAUGUAGUUGUGUAAUGCUUUAGGCUCAGUGUGGGGUUGAUGCAAUAUUCUAAAGAAUUCAUGAGGACUUGGUUCUAUUGUACAAUGGUGUUCAAAUUCAAACUGUCAAUAAGGAGAGAGAGAUAUAUGGUGCAUUUGUUUCUCUCUGCAGAGACACUUUAGCUCAACAUGAGCUGUGUGGAUUUAAAGAGUGGGUGGGAUUUGCAUUCAGCGAAUGUAGACAUUGUGAAUGUACUUUGACAAUAAGCAGAUGUAAUAUAAUGAGGAUUUUUUUAUGGAAAGGACAUUGGACAGACAUAUUCGACAAUGCUGUGAAAUUGAAAAGGCCAGCACUGACUUCUUAAGAAACAGACUUAACACAACAUAUGGUAUAAACAGAAAGAGCAAGCUAGUUGAAUUCCCUGUUUUUAAACUUAUACAGCAAACACCACAGGAUAUAAUCAUUCUUGAAGGCAUUGAUCCAUUAGAAAUUAAGUGUGUGUUGAAACACCUAGUUCUUUCAGGACAAUUGGACUUAGACACUUUAAAUGCUGCUCUCCUUGAUUUCCCCUACUCUCCCCUGGAUGUAAGAGCUAAACCAUGCCCUAUAACCUGCAGGACAUUGGCAUCAAAUUGUAAUAAAAUCAAGCAGUCCUCAGGGCAAAUGCUUUUUCUCCUUUAAAUAUUGCAAUUUUUAUCAGACACUGUUGAAGGAAAUUAAUAUAUUAAAGUUAUUUUGACAUUGAUAGAGAUGGUUCAGAUUAUCUUUGUACCUGUUAUUACUCUUCAAACUGUAUCAAAUUGGAAAUGUAUUAUUGAGUAGCAUUUGAAACAUGUGAAAGAGCUUUUCCCUGAAAACAAUAUUAUACCAAAUCAACAUUAUAUGAUUCAUGUUCCAUCUCAGAUUAAAUUAUUGGGAUAAAUUGGUCAGAGGUUUGAGUCCAAGCAUUGUUUUUUUUUUACCUUGGUCCUCAAACUUGACUUUCAGAAACGUCUAUAAGUCUUUGAUAAAACAUAAUCAAAUGUUUGAAUGUUGUCAGAAUGCUAAUGAGUUACACAACCCUAUUUUUCCAAUGAGCGGGAGUUGGGAC
rnacentral:lncRNA from 1 species